UAGAGGGUGGUGUAGAAGGAAGCACGGAGGGUUUUGAUCUCUCAGUUAUAGGUUCAAGUCCUAUCUUUCUAG
rnacentral:tRNA from 1 species